rnacentral:misc_RNA from 1 species
UUCCAUUUCGAUUUUACAAAUUCCUCUUUAAGACUGAAGAGAUUCAAUCAUUCUGAAAAUUUGUUACCACUUUUUCUGUUUUACCAUUUUUUGUGUUUGUGUGUGUAUAGGGAUUUUUUAAAAUUGUUUUUUGCAAUGCAGAUUUGUUAUAAAUGUAAACAUGUAUAAAAUCAUAGUAUUGUAUUGUGUAAAGUUCGGAAUGUCCAAACAGUGAACUAAUAGUGAUAUCAAAAAGGAUGUGUGACUUUUAUUUUAAUCAGUUUCAUUUUGUUUAUCUUUAAAAACAUAUUUGUUAUGAAUAUUUUUAUUUUGUUGUUGUGUUCAAGGCAUAGAUCAAUUUGUCUCAUAGAUUUUGAUAUCAGGAUUUUAGGCAUUACGCGGAUCUUGCAUCAUGAAGUUUUGAACGAUAAAAAAUAAGUUUUUAGAUGUUUUUUUCUGUAUGUGUGUUUGUCUCAGUUCUUGUACCGUGCCUAGCAUUGCAUUCUUUGUCCAUGUAUGUACAUGUAUGUUUCAAUAUUUCAGUCUAUACGUGUGCACACACAUAUCCUCAUGUAUUUGAGGUCUUGGAGAUUGAAAUUCUGUGUGCACUGCUGACAUUUACAGUAGUUCUACAGUUUUCAAAUUUUCUGACCACUGUAUACAAAGCUACAUUAUUUAUUAUCAUAGGUUAUAGGAUUUUCAAGCAAAAUCAUGCCACAAAGUGUAUGCGCUAUUUAUUGAUGAGGUACUGUGAAUGAAUUAAACAAAAUACAUUGUAUUCAAAUGUUAUUCAAUAAAAAAUAUGAAU